GGUUGUCGUCAGCUCGUGUCGUGAGAUGUUGGGUUAAGUCCCGCAACGAGCGCAACCCCUAUUGUUAGUUGCCAUCAUUCAGUUGGGCACUCUAGCGAGACUGCCGGUAAUAACCGGAGAAGUGGGGAUGACGUCAAAUCAUCAUGCCCCUUAUGACCUGGGCUACACACGUGCUACAAUGGUUGGUACAACGAGUUGCGAGUCGGUGACGGCGAGCUAAUCUCUUAAAGCCAAUCUCAGUUCGGAUUGUAGGCUGCAACUCGCCUACAUGAAGUCGGAAUCGCUAGUAAUCGCGGAUCAGCACGCCGCGGUCGAAUACGUUCCCGGGCCUU
rnacentral:rRNA from 1 species